rnacentral:siRNA from 1 species
CCGUUUUUCGACGGUGUCUUUGAU